UUGGAGACCUCAAAUCAGGUAGGACUACCCGCUGA
rnacentral:rRNA from 1 species